CUGUUUAGCAAAUACUACACUACUUCCAAAAAAUAGCACGAGAGUGAAGACAACUGGUAUAUUGAGAUCAAAAAUAAUAAUACAAAGUGUCUUUUUCCAUCUUUCACAAGUAAUACACCCUGGGAGAAGAAAAGGUUCAUUACCUUUGUCAAACCAAAUACCGCAGUAGUCACAUAUGGCUUUUUUUUUUUUUUUAUAAUUUAAAUAAAACACAUACCAUGUGGAAGCAGAUCAUAAGCAGGGCAGAAUAACACUGGCACAUCUUCAUGUGUUUUUUGAGUCCAGAUCUGGUUUAGUAAAGAUCAGGUCCACCCGUGGCAAGGUCUUGUGUCAGUAUUCCUAAAAGCACAAAACCUAUCAUGCUCAAGAUAUGAGGAAAUAUAGGAAAUUAGUGUUAACAAACAAACAACAAAUAACAAGAAAUGGUCAAAAGUUAUGUUAUUUCAUUUAACGGUAUAAUUAUGUUGCAAACAAGUUAAAAUGUAUAUGAAUGUAAACAGAAAGUAAAAAGCUAUAAAACUGGUUUACUGUUUUAAUUAAGCUUUUACCAUUUUAUUAACCUCUUAAUGUUUUCGCAGAUCCUGCGGUGUGACAAAUAAAUGUUAAAAAUUACAAACACACCAUGCAGCCUCUUGAAGUCAUAAAAACGUUCAAUAAAAUUACAGUAAUGUUGUUUAAAUUAGCUUUAAAUGGAGCACAGAAUGACACUGCAGGAAACCGCAGAGCUUUCACAGCUUAAAAUGUCAAGUUCCCAAAUAAGUACUGAGCAAUAUUAAUGAACAAGCAAUUAUUUUGAGAAGAGGUUUAUAGUUUUUUUUUUUUUUGUUGUUAUAUAAAGUCAUGAUAUUACAUGAAAUAAGGGCACCAAACUAAGUAACGCAAAAGCUUUACCAUAUAAAUAAAAUAGCAAAUUAUGUAAUAUAAUCUUCUUCUUUACUCAGCGUGGUUCAUGUCCAGCUGCAUUAAAUCCUCUUAGCUCUGCUCAUUUGGUUGCAUGGCUUUCCUCUGCAACACUCACAUAACCUUAACACGAUUAUGUGUGGAUGUGAUUGUCCAUCUAAAAGAAAAUUAUAAUAAUAACAAUAAUAAAACUGCUCUCUAAGCAGUCCCCUGGGUAAAAGUCCGGUUUUGCUGCAUCCUUGCCCGCUCGCUCUUCCUAAAGUGAUGUUGUGUGAUGGAUCAGUGCGCUUUUAGGUUGUGACAGUGGAGUCACUGAGCCCAACCCCUCAACAUCAGCACCAAUAACAGCACACAUCACACUUUAAAGCUUUUUAUGUAUGUAAAUCAAUUUAAAACCACUGAGUG
ensembl:lncRNA